rnacentral:misc_RNA from 1 species
CUGGGAGAACACAGAUUGCACCAAGUGAGUCACAGAGAUGAUUCCCUUCAUUGAGAUUGGCUUGGUUUUGCUAGAUGAUUAAUUUUUGUGUAGACAACAUAAAUUAUAGUUUCAUUGUGUAAUGAAGUGUCCAUUUGGACUUGAAGUUGCUUAGGAGUCAUUUUUAUGUGUUUUUAGGAAACAUAGCUUGUUGACGAGUUUGGUAGAAGAAUUGAAACUGUCUGUGCCAUAUUUGGCAAAUUGUGGAGUAUGGGAAGUAAAGUAAAAGUUAGCUCCUCAAAAGGAAAUCAACAAAGGACUGCUGUUAAUGCUUUGAAGGAGCAUGCUAAGAAGCAUUAUGGCAGCAUUACAGCAACCCAAAAUGGACCUAAGGAAUUAGGAGCUAGGAAGUAGAAGGUAGAAACCAGUGAAGUCUCUCAAACCUCAAACAGACAACCUGUUUUAGUUGCAGAGGUCAUGAUAAAAUAUCUUCCAUUGGGUAUAUUUGCAGUUUAAAGAUUUUGUCUAGCUCAGAGAAUGGUUAUAGUUUAUAAUUAAUGUGCUUGAGCCUCUAAUAACACAUAACAUUCCUUCUCUGUUUUCUUAAUAUAUUGGAAGUAUGAAAGCAAAUAAACAAAAAGAUGAAAUAUGAUUCUAAACUUUCAAAUUCAAAUUAAUUACUUCGCAAAUCAGAGGAUUAAUUACUUUGCAAAGCAGAGGUUGAGCUCUAAUAUAUGGAAAUGCAAGAAUUAGUAGGAUAAGCAAGGUUGCUUAAAGCACAGGCUCUCUCCCAGUUCAAUUUGUUUUUUGGGGUCAUGGACAAGUCAACCUUUUUCAAAUGCACAUUUACAACACUCUAAUUCUUGACAAGCUUACUGUUGACUUUGGCUUAUGUUGACAUUCUUUUCUUCAACAAGCAUGGUAAAAUUUAUUUUUAUUUUUCUGCUUUUGUUUCAGAUUCAAGAACAGUGAUGGCUAUUC